UGGAUGGUACCAGCGGCACUUCUGCAAAAUUGGAGAGUGUGCGUGUGAGGAAGUAAUUGGGACUCGGGAGAGGUCAGGGUGCUGCUGAAAGGCCAAAGGCUAAAUCGUUGCUGCAGAUAGGAGCUCCGUCCAUGGUGCUUAAGUGAAGGUUGAUGUUGGAGAGGGAGUUCCCUUCACUUUUCUCUCUUCAUCCCUCUCUCUCCGUCUCUCUCUCUCUCUCUCGCUUUCUCUCUCUCUUUCUCUCUCUCUCUCUCUCUCUCUCUCGCUGUCUUUCUCUCUCUCUUUUCUCUCUAUUAGGGUAAUCGCAUUCCCGAGGGAAGUCGGCGCCUGUUCCAUAUGGGAAUGGCAGCGCCCCGCACCCAUACAGUGCGUCCCAACCUCCUGCCUUCGGAGCACCCAUACUAUGAUACUGGGAAUAUGACACUUCGCUAACUCAAAAACAAGACGGUUUCCGGACUUGCGAAAGCUGUCUCCUGGCGAGGAAAACCGACCGAGAGAUUUAUAAAUCCGUCUUCGGAAACCAAUCGCUGGUGUGGGAACGCGGAUACUGCAGCGCGAAAUUUCACACGCAGCAAACCCCCGAACAGCUGAGCAGAGGAAAUGUUGGAAAAGUGCUGUGGAGAAAUCAGCUGAAAGCCCUCCAUCCUUCCAGGUAGCCUGAUAGCGGGGUGGUGCAGGGUGGGAGCAACUCGCCCCCCCUCCCCCGGGGAAGUUUGGUUGAUGAGUGCUGGGGCCCCUGGCAGAGGGAGUGCGCUGGAGCUGCGGAUCGCCGGAUAAUGGGCAGCAGCAGCGCCCGGGGCUGCGCUCUCCUGCACCUUAACGAAGACAACGGACGCUUCGUGCUGCUCGCCUUGCUCAUCGUGGCUUACCUGCUGUGCGGCGCCGCCGUCUUCUCGGCCAUCGAGCGGCCGACCGAGCUGGAGGCUCGGUCCAGGUGGAACCGAACCCUGCGCAACUUCGCCGCCAAGUUCGACAUCGCCGGCGGCGAGCUGAGCGCCUUCCUGAGGGACUACGAAGCGGCCAUCGCUGCAGGGAUCCACGCCGACACCCUGAGACCCAGGUGGGACUUCACCGGAGCCUUUUACUUCGUGGGCACCGUGGUGUCCACCAUCGGUUUUGGCAUGACAACUCCAGCGACUGUGGCAGGAAAAGUGUUCCUGAUAUUCUAUGGCCUUCUCGGAUGUGCAGGAACCAUCCUGUUUUUCAACCUCUUUCUCGAGCGCAUCAUCACCCUGCUGGCUUUCAUCAUGAAGGCGUGUUACCAGAGACAGCUGCAGAAUAAAGGUCUUCUGCCUCCCAUCAUUGGCCGCCAAUCCACCCUCAUGGAUGCAGCCGGGCUGACUGGAUGGAAGCCAUCUGUGUACUACGUCAUGCUAAUCCUUGGGAUUGCUGCCGUUAUAAUCUCCUGCUGUGCUUCAGCUAUGUAUACACCAGUAGAAGGAUGGAAUUACACCGACUCACUGUACUUCUGUUUUGUCACGUUCAGUACUAUUGGUUUUGGGGAUCUUGUCAGCAGCCAGAAUGCGGCCUAUACAAAUCAGGGAUUGUACAGAUUUGGUAAUUUUGUAUUCAUACUACUUGGGGUGUGUUGCAUCUACUCCCUCUUCAAUGUUAUCUCCAUUGUGAUCAAGCAGUUCCUCAACUGGCUACUGAAGAAACUAGAGUGUAGUUGCUGCCCGAGGUGCCAGAGAGGAAAGAAACGCACCGGGCGCCGCAACGCGAUCACGCCAGGACAGUCUCGAAUCCGUAGGAGCCAUGUCCUGUCAGAAACAGAUGGGCCGUGUGAAAGUGAUGCGGAGGGCAGGAGGCUUUCUGGGGAAAUGAUCUCCAUGAGAGACUUGACUGCAUCCAACAAGGUGUCACUUGCCAUCCUGCAGAAGCAGCUGUCGGAAACGGCCAAUGGUUACCCCCGGACAGUCUGUGUCAACACAAGGCAGAACGGUUUCUCGGGAGGGGUGGGAGCGUUAGCCAUCAUGAAUAACAGGUUAGCAGAAACCAGUGAAAGCAGGUAAUAUGUGAAAGGCCUCACCAGCAAACAAGGUGGCUGGACUUAAUUCAACAACUAUAUCAGCAGCUACUCAUCCUGGUGUCUACUACAGCACAGCUUUAUGAGAAUCAUUACAACUCAGUCCACAUACGCUCCAUCGUCGGAGGCUACAUCAGAGUUUCAGUCCCAAUUUAUGGGGUAUAUCCUCUUCCUAAUUGCCUUUUUUGUUGCUUGCAGUACUUCCUGGAAGGAUAAAACGUUUUCCUCCAAAAGGUGAUAAUUGUCAAUUCAACCAAUACGGGAUCAGCUUGUUCCAAAGGUUCUCUGAAUCUUCAACAUCUGACUUUUUCAUUUUUAAAGAAAUGUGCCUGAUGGGGAAACUCUCCUUCGUAUUUAAAGUAAGAUGAAACACACAGUGAAUGCCUGUAGAUUCUGGUCUCUGGUUCUCACACACAUGCCACAGAAAGGGCUGGACUUGUUUUAUUUGAAACCUGACAAUGCAAUGCCCUGGUUGUAUUGGAAAUGACAUAGCUUUCAAAUAUUAAUUUUGCCAAUGAAUGGGAAAUCAAAUAGCAGAAAAUAUUGUUGUUUGUAGUCAGCAGAAUAAAAAUUAUUCUACAUCUCAAUAAACAGGACAAGGAAACAAUCAGGGCUCACAGGAAGAUAAAUGGAACUGAUUAAACAAUCAUUUCAGAUUCUGACCAGAUUUUCCACUGGGCCACAGUUGUGUAAUUACCCCUUCAUAUUCCUCCAACUGGAAUAAUUCAUUUCAAACCAUUGAUUAUUGUCUCUUUCAGUCUUUGGCAAAACUGCCUAAAAUUAAGUGCAAUCCAAAUACAAAGUGUGCCAGGGAUCUGUGAGUAACUGGUCGAUCUGCAUAUACAGCACAGUACAGGCCCUUCAGGCAACGAUGUUGUGCCAACUUUUAACUACUCUGAGGUCAAUCUAAACGUUGCCUCCCACAUAGGUCUACACUUUACUAAAGAGUAUCUUAAAUGUCCCUGCUGUAUUGGCCUCUACCACCAUCCCUGGCAACACAUCCCACACAACCACCACUCUCUGGGUAAAAAAAGUUAACUCUGACAUCCACCCUAUAUUUUCCUCCCACCUUAAAAUUAUGUCCCUUUGUGUUCGCCAUUUCCACCCUGGGAAAAAGUCUACUUGAUUUAAACUUCUUAUCAUAUUGUUCACCUCUAUGAAGUCACCUCUCAUCCUCCUUCGUUCCAUGUGGACCAUGUGGCCAAGCAACUUCUCAGAGCGGGGGCAUUUAGGGUUAGGUAAUAAAUGACACCCACAUCCCGCUAAUGAAUAAAAGGAGAUUUUCAUCCUGCACAGAAGAGACGUUUAAGGCUUUUGUCAGACAAUACUUGAAAAACAAAUGACAGAUUUGGUCAUGUCUGAGUAGACACAACUGUGUGAUUUUUAAGUUGAUGCUCACUUGCAACUUAUCUGCGGAAAAUUUAGGAGGCAAGGAACUUCUGUCCUACUCAGACAUCCAACACAGACUUGAUGAAAGAUUAUAAUGUGCAGGCAUCACUUCCACUGAUUUGAGCAAGAGGUUUUAUAAAUAUGUUCAUUAAAAUCCUACACCAUUUUAUGCCCAAAAACUGCAACAUUGAAAUGCAAAUGUGUGGAACAUCUUCUGUUAUCUGGCCAGUUGAGUAGACGCUCCAUGCAACAGAGUAUUCUGGAGAAGCGACUGUCCAAAGGCCUUAAAAUACAGGAGACCGCAAUACACAUCAUUUGAGUGUGCUUGAUAUUCAAUAGGAUCAUUGCAAACUGUACCUGAGGUCCGCCAAAGGACUGCAUCCACCCACACCUCUCUUCCCCAACUUCAAGAUCACAGUUUGAGGAUAAAGGGGAAGCCUUUUAGGACCGAGAUUAGGAAAAACUUCUUCACACAGAGAGUGGUGAAUCUGUGGAAUUCUCUGCCACAGGAAACAGUUGAGGCCAGUUCAUUGGCAAUAUUUAAAAGGGAGUUAGAUAUGGCCCUUGUGGCUAAAGGGAUUGGGGGUAUGGAGGGAAGGCUGGUACAGGGUUCUGAGUUGGAUAAUCAGCCAUGAUCAUACUGAAUGGCGGUGCAGGCUCGAAGGGCCGAAUGGCCUACUCCUGCACCUAUUUUCUAUGUUUCUAUGUUUCUAUAAGAAAUAGCAGCAGGAUCUGGCCCUUUGAGCCAGCUGCACCAUUAAAUAAGAUCAUUGUGGAUCUGACUGUGGGCUCAGCUCUACCUAAACCAGUUUUUCACCAUAACCAUGAAUUGCCCUGCUAUUCAAAAAUCUAUUCGACACCCUAAUGCCCUCCCCUCCCCCCAUCAUGGAGCUGCUAGAGAUGGUUGUCGCAUUGUACAUGUGGACACACUGCACAACCAUUUCACAUUCAUUUUGUUCACAUUGAAUAUUGUUAGAUGGACAUGUUUAGCGGAUUUGACCUACACAGGUGUACAGUAUAAACAAGAGUCCGAAGUUAAUUUAUUUCAGUUCUUCGUUGCACCACUUUCUGUUAGUAAGAUUAUUUUUCCAACUGCGCCUACUUGAAGUAAAUUCCAAAAGUGUCAGUUAGCAAUUGUAGUGUUAAAUAGAACUAGCUGGAUACCUUGAUUGGACAGAAAUGAAGAUCGCAGAAUGCUGCUCCAAUACAAAACAGAGCAUGGAGGUUACUGAGGUCCUGAGCAAAUAAAAACAGGGUUUUAGAGAGGAGGAAGGGUGUGAGAUGAAUGUUAUGCAGUUUUGUUCUACUUGUCUUUAUGAUGUUUUCUGUAGAAGAAGCCUUUCCUUUCAACGUGUUUUAGCUACAAUCUUAGAAACACUCACCUGCUGUGGUAAGUCUGAAAAUUUCCAUUUCCCAUGCUCUCCAGUACAGAGAUUUCCAAUGCAGUGCCAAAUAGUGUUGAGUUUGAGGCAUUUUGCCUGUUUUUAAUCCAAUGUUUUUAUGAUAACUAAAUGCAACAAUGGGCAAAAGAAAACACCAUGCAUCACGACCUUUUCCAGCAUCGACACAGUCAGUGAACUGGUGAAACAAGGGCAAAAUAAAAAGGGUCAAGCCACUACAGGACCUUAAGGUGAUAUGCUGGAAAAGCAAAGCUGAAACUUUGGGGUCAGAUUUCAAGGUGUCCAUUGGGCAAAGUGGAACAGCCUAUUAGGUUAUACAACCCAAACAGCAUGCCAGAAUCAUGAUGGAAAUUGGAUGAGGCCCUACAAUGUAAAAAUGAUAAAGCAAGGGAAUUACCAUUGGAUAAUGUUCAUUUGAAGGGCACAUAUCAAUAUUUAUUUUCUGUGUAUUUCAUUAACAAGUGAAUUGAAUACCUCAAAUGGAAGAAAUGAAUGUAAUGCUUCAGGUGACAAGUCCUAAUAAGGAAAUGAGACUCUUUCAGAGAACAGAAUGUAAGAAAAGCACAACCCGGACAAUGAAAUUCCUUAAAUAAUUAGUAUAUCAAAAUAAUGCAGCUGCUAGAAAUCUGAAAUAUGAAUAGAAAUGCUUCAAUUUAGCAGGUGAUGUGACAUUAGAACAGAGAGAAACAAUGUAAAUCUCUCAGGUCAAUAGUCUUGAAUCCAAACUCAGACUGUAAUGACAGAUCAUGAAUCUGCAACAGUAACUGUUUUGCUUGUCAUGGAUUCUGUCUGACACACUGAAUAUUUCAAGCAUUUCUGUUUUUAAUGCCAUAGUUUUAUUUUAUUACUCUUAUGAUUGAAGGCUAACCUGUCCUGAGUAACAAGCCAAUGAAUGCGCCAGGAGUCUUAGGAAGAAGACGGUGUAAGACAUAAUUAGCAGUGCAUAGGAUGGGAAGCUCACAGAUGUUUGUUAGGCUGAGCAGAGGAAACAUGUUGGUCAUCGGGUUACACUGUAUGUGAAACCUCAUCACCCGAAUCGGCAACUACAGCAUAGGCAGUUUGUGUCCAUUGCUUGUCGGUGUGGGUAUGGCACUGUGAGGUUCACACAGCACAGAUACACUGCCUGUUCUCAGACACGUGGGUGCAUAAGAAAAUGCUCCCCGGUGGUCUAGAAAAGCAAUUUAUCACUCACCCGACAGGCUGGCAUUUCUAGGUCGGAAUAUAUUCCUGUACAAUUUAUUUAGCCGUUACUUAACGAAGUAUUGUAUCUCCAAAAACUGAAGAAAAGUAUAUAUGGCAGUAUUGCACAUUAAGGCUUUGGAUUAAGAAUAUCUGACAAAAUGGAUAUCCCUGCAUACAAUGAAGCUCCUAUAAUAUUUCUAAAUUCAAUAGUCCAAUGUAUUCCUACGAAUGGCGGAACUGGUUUCCCUUCUCCCCAUUUUUAAUAACCAUUCCUAUAUGCUUUUGAAGCCAUCCAUUACAAUACAGUGGAAGUAUAGCAAUGAAAUCGAGUGAUUUUUGUGAAUUUUCUGACUGACAGACUAAAAUUUACUUGUUUUUAACUAUUUUUACUAAUAGUUAAAAAUGAACCUAUUAGUUACCUGCCUAUAUAAUCAGAGUUAGUUUGAAAUGCAGCUCAAAAAGUCUUCUAAGUUAUAAGCAGCAAGUCUGCAGUGAAUCACUGUUGCUUUACCUCAGCCAGCAAGCAACUUGGAAUAAGUAGUAAAAAUACACAGAUGAACUUGAAUCACAAGGGACCACUCGGAAAAUCUCAGAAAAGCAUUUUGUAUCUUUCACCCCAUGCCUUCAACAUCUUAUGCGCUCAACCUAAAUGUGAAUAUAGUUAUUAAUAAAACAUUGCACUAUGAAUAUAGCCUGUGUUCUAUGGUUCUUUCACUGUGGCAAACAGAAAUAAAAUAUAUAUUUUUUUCACUUUGAGCAAAGUGUAAAGCAGGUGAUAGUGAGUCACUACCUCGCUAGUUUUUAAUUCAGUUGACCUGGAUCAAAAGAAACUUGAGAAAGUUGGAUAUUUUUUCCAUUAGAUGAAGAAGGAUCCAUUUCAACUCAUCGUGUCAAUGCCAAAUCACGGGACAGCCUCCAAACCUCAAUAAAUUCCCCUAUGCUCCCUCGAUUCUCUUGGCUCUCCCCAGGUUCUAUCACUCAAUUACCACUAGACAUCUUGCCUUGACCAAUUAACUAAAUCAACGCCAAUGACUUCGGGAUAUGAGAGGAAACUGGAGCACCCAGGAACCCAUGAAAUCAGAGGCAGAACACGUAACCUUCGCACUUACAGCUCCUAAAGUCAAGAUUGAACCAGGGUUGCUGGAGAAGUGAGCUGUGCCACUGUGACAUUCACAAAAUGUGUCGAUUCUGACAAUCGUACAUUAA